GCUGCCCUGGUGUAGUUGGUUAUCACGUCAGUCUAACACACUGAAGGUCGCCGGUUCAAGUCCGGCGGGCAGUA
rnacentral:tRNA from 1 species